rnacentral:rRNA from 1 species
AUUGAACGCUGGCGGCAUGCUUUACACAUGCAAGUCGAACGGUAACAGGUUAAGCUGACGAGUGGCGAACGGGUGAGUAAUGCAUCGGAACGUGCCCGGUCGUGGGGGAUAACACUUCGAAAGAAGUGCUAAUACCGCAUACGAUCUGAGGAUGAAAGCGGGGGACCGUAAGGCCUCGCGCGAUCGGAGCGGCCGAUGUCAGAUUAGGUAGUUGGUGGGGGAAAGGCCCACCAAGCCGACGAUCUGUAGCUGGUCUGAGAGGACGACCAGCCACACUGAGACUGAGACACGGCCCAGACUCCUACGGGAGGCAGCAGUGGGGAAUUUUGGACAAUGGGCGCAAGCCUGAUCCAGCAAUGCCGCGUGCAGGAAGAAGGCCUUCGGGUUGUAAACUGCUUUUGUACGGAGCGAAAAGGCUCCCUCUAAUACAGGGGGCUGAUGACGGUACCGUAAGAAUAAGCACCGGCUAACUACGUGCCAGCCGCCGCGGUAA